AUUGAACGCUGGCGGCAGGCCUAACACAUGCAAGUCGAGCGGAGCGGCGGACGGGUGAGUAAUGCCUAGGAAUCUGCCUGGUAGUGGGGGAUAACGUCAGGAAACGGGCGCUAAUACCGCAUACUAUCAGAUGAGCCUAGGUCGGAUUAGCUAGUUGGUGGGGUAAAGGCAUACCAGGGCGACGAUCCGUAACUGGUCCGAGAGGAUGAUCAGUCACACUGGAACUGAGACACGGUCCAGACUCCUACGGGAGGCAGCAGUGGGGAAUAUUGGACAAUGGGCGAAAGCCUGAUCCAGCCAUGCCGCGUGUAUGAAGAAGGUCUUCGGAUUGUAAAGCACUUUAAGCUGGGAGGCGUUACCAACAGAAGAAGCACCGGCUAACUUCGUGCCAGCAGCCGCGGUAAUUC
rnacentral:rRNA from 1 species